rfam:Macrotus californicus prion protein (PRNP) gene, partial cds.
CCAUGGUGGCGGAGGCUGGGGACAGCCCUAUGGUGGCAAG